CGCGACCCCAGGUCAGGCGGGGCUACCCGCUGAGUUUAAGCAUAUCAAUAAGCGGAGGAAAAGAACUAACGAAGAUCCCCCUAGUAACGCGAAAAAACUAGUUAUUCUAGC
rnacentral:rRNA from 1 species